rnacentral:tRNA from 1 species
CCAUCGGUGGUUCAGUGGUAGAAUGCUCGCCUGCCACACGGGCGGCCCGGGUUCGAUUCCUGGCCGAUGCA